UGAACGCGCCACACUUGUUCGGGAAUGAGUCUACACUGCGUGCCACAGAGCUCUCGUGGGAGUUAAAAGUGUGCUUAUUCAUGUUUACAUUUUUUUUUACAUAACAAUUAUUAUUUUCUUUAUUAGAUAGAUCGAUGCGUUUAACAACCAUUCAUUCAUUACUGCUCCAAGCACAAUUGUAUUCAUAUCGGGACCCACCUACCACAGACUCUUGGCGAUAAUUCUUAAUAAUUGUGUGACAUCAUCCUCUACGCGAGACGCCUCAGCAGCCAUUUAGAAAUACAUGAGGGUGGCAAUUGACGGUGGCAGGCGCGACAAUCAAUUCAAGUAACGCGUAUUCAUCAUCGUGGUUGGCUACAGCAGAGAGACGCCUUGUGCCUUUGGCCACCAUGUGAUUUUUUAAAGCGUAUUAAGGCAUUGUGCGAAGGACAGCCAAACAAUUUAGACUACGCCUUUUGUCUUCAAUUGUAAAUCAUUCAAAAUUUAAUUGCAUUCAAAUUUGAGUAGCAUGUCUGAUAAUAAAUAGAUAAAAACUUGCAGGCGAAUAUACAGCUGUGUGUAAAUGCAUUUGUUUACAGGUUUGUUGUGGCAUUUGUGAUAUUGUUGAACUGUCAAUUGUAGUCCAAAAUAAAAAUGUGUGCCCCGAGGGAAAAAUUCUAUUGUCGACAAAGUGUGGGUCUUUGACAUUGGGAUGCAAUGGAUUAAGCGCCGUCAUAAUUUACACUCUGGGUGGCACGCAUACAAUAUCAAUAUGAUUCAAUAUGCUUUGAAUUGUUGCAGGUCGGAACAAAUUGGUAAGCCUUUGAUCUUGUCUCAAAUGUAUAUCCGGUCAAGAACUGUUAUUCCGGCCGCAUACCUCAAAAUAUAAAAAACAGCAUCAACAAAAUACUAAUGACGUUAUGGUGAAAUCCUAAAAACUUAUAAAUGAUUCAAAUUAUCUCAACAACGUUCCGCUUGGAUUACUGAUACCACAAAUAAACAACUAAAUAACUUGUAUAUGACUCAUAAAUGAAAGACCCAAAACACCAGAUAUGACGGAGAAGAUAUUCUCAUAAACAAUAUAAAAAUAACGAAUGAAGUUCAUAGUAAAAAAGUGCAAUAACCCCCAACUUGUUGCUUCAAAUUGUAGUUGUUUGGCACUUAACGCAUAGACCAAAACAAAAAACAGCUGGCGUUGUAUAAAGAGCAACACAAGUAAAGUUAUGAAUGUCAAAAAAGGUAUUUGCAACUAAAAAUAGAUAUGAUAAACCACACAAUUGCACCCGUGCGUCCUUCACAAAAACUCCCCUACUAUAAAGCAAUCGAAUUUUCAAACAUUAUAUUCUAUUCCAAUUAGCAUUACUUUACACUUUUGACAACUAAUAUGUAAUAAAUACGAAUGCUAAAUCGUUUUCAAGUUCUUUUCAUACAAUAACUUACCUUUCGC